UACAGAGGUCUCAAGCGUUGUUCGGAUUCAUUGGGCGUAAAGGGUGCGUAGGCGGCGCGGUAAGUCGGGUGUGAAAUCUCGGAGCUUAACUCCGAAACUGCAUUCGAUACUGCCGUGCUUGAGGACUGGAGAGGAGACUGGAAUUUACGGUGUAGCGGUGAAAUGCGUAGAUAAUCGUAAGGAAGACCAGUGGCGAAGGCGGGUCUCUGGACAGUUCCUGACGCUGAGGCGCGAAGGCCAGGGGAGCAAACGGG
rnacentral:rRNA from 1 species